rnacentral:rRNA from 1 species
GACGAACGCUGGCGGCGUGCUUAACACAUGCAAGUCGAACGGAAAGGCCCUGCUUGCAGGGUACUCGAGUGGCGAACGGGUGAGUAACACGUGGGUGAUCUGCCCUGCACUUCGGGAUAAGCCUGGGAAACUGGGUCUAAUACCGGAUAGGAGCCAUUUUUAGUGUGAUGGUUGGAAAGUUUUUUUCGGUGUAGGAUGAGCUCGCGGCCUAUCAGCUUGUUGGUGGGGUAAUGGGCUACCAAGGCGGCGACGGGUAGCCGGCCUGAGAGGGUGGACGGCCACAUUGGGGCUGAGAUACGGCCCAGACUCCCACGGGAGGCAGCAGGGGGGAAAAUUGCACAAUGGGCGCGAGCCUGAUGCAGCGACGCCGCGGGGGGGAGGACGGCCUUCGGGUUGGAAACUCCCUUCGCUAGGGACGAAGCUUUUUGUGACGGUACCUAGAGAAGAAGCACCGGCUAACUACGUG